rnacentral:rRNA from 1 species
CCUACGGGAGGCAGCAGUAAGGAAUAUUGGUCAAUGGAGGCAACUCUGAACCAGCCAUGCCGCGUGCAGGAUGACGGCCCUAUGGGUUGUAAACUGCUUUUAUACAAGAGAAAACCCUGGUACGUGUACCAGGUUGAUAGUAUUGUAAGAAUAAGCAUCGGCUAACUUCGUGCCAGCAGCCGCGGUAAGACGAAGGAUGCAAGCGUUAUCCGGAUUCAUUGGGUUUAAAGGGUGCGUAGGCGGACUGAUAAGUCAGUGGUGAAAUCUCUUUGCUUAACAAAGAAACUGCCAUUGAUACUGUCGGUCUAGAGUAUAGAUGACGUUGGCGGAAUAUGACAUGUAGUGGUGAAAUACUUAGAUAUGUCAUAGAACACCGAUUGCGAAGGCAGCUAACGAAACUAUAACUGACGCUGAGGCACGAAAGUGCGGGGAUCAAACAGGAUUAGAUACCCUGGUAGUCCGCACCGUAAACGAUGAUUACUCGUUGUUGGCGAUAUGACAGUCAGCGACCAAGCGAAAGCGAUAAGUAAUCCACCUGGGGAGUACGCCGGCGAACGGUGAAACGUCGAAAGGAAGUUAGACGG